rnacentral:rRNA from 1 species
UACGAAGGGGACUAGCGUUGUUCGGAAUCACUGGGCGUAAAGCGCACGUAGGCGGAUUUGUAAGUCAGGGGUGAAAUCCCGGGGCUCAACCUCGGAACUGCCUUUGAGACUGAGUGGCUUGAGUACGAGAGAGGUGAGUGGAAUUCCCAGUGUAGAGGUGAAAUUCGUAGAUAUUGGGAAGAACACCGGUGGCGAAGGCGGCUCACUGGCUCGUAACUGACGCUCAUGCACGACAGCGUGGGGAUCAAACAGG